rnacentral:rRNA from 1 species
CCCCUAGAUGUUCUGGGCCGCACGCGCGCUACACUGAACAGUUCAACAAGUCUUAACCUUGGCCGAUAGGUCUGGGUAAUCUUUGAACGCUGUUCGUGAUUGGGAUAGACCUUUGCAAUUAUGGGUCUUCAACGAGGAAUUCCUAGUAAACGCAAGUCAUCAGCUUGCAUUGAUUACGUCCCUGCCCUUUGUACACACCGCCCGUCGCACCUACCGAUUGAAUGGUCCGGUGAAAUCUCGGGACGGCGGCUUGGUCGCUUGCGUCCGACUGCUGAAACUUGAUUAAACCAUAUCAUUUAGAGGAAGUAAAANUCGUANCA